UUCGCAAGGCAAGGAAGAAGGAGGGAGGGGAGUGGAAAGGAUGGAAAAAUAAUCCAGGAGGGAAAAGUAACUGGAUGGAAGUGAAGUGUGGUUCUACCUCUUCCUCUUUUUCUCUCUUUUUGUUCUUUUUCU
rnacentral:ribozyme from 11 species